rnacentral:rRNA from 1 species
GAGUUUGAUCAUGGCUCAGAUUGAACGCUGGCGGCAGGCCUAACACAUGCAAGUCGAGCGGUAGCACAAGAGAGCUUGCUCUCUGGGUGACGAGCGGCGGACGGGUGAGUAAUGUCUGGGAAACUGCCUGAUGGCGGGGGAUAACUAGUGGAAACGGUAGCUAAUACCGCAUAACGUCGCAAGACCAAAGUGGGGGACCUUCGGGCCUCACGCCAUCAGAUGUGCCCAGGUGGGAUUAGCUGGUAGGUGGGGUAACGGCUCACCUAGGCGACGAUCCCUAGCUGGUCUGAGAGGAUGACCAGCCACACUGGAACUGAGACACGGUCCAGACUCCUACGGGAGGCAGCAGUGGGGAAUAUUGCACAAUGGGCGCAAGCCUGAUGCAGCCAUGCCG